CCAGCUCCAAUAGCGUAUAUUAAAGUUGUUGCAGUUAAAAAGCUCGUAGUUGGACUUCUGGGUCGGCCUGAUGGUCCGCCGCAAGGCGAGCACUGUUGGGUUGGCCCUUCCUCUCGAAGGCUGCGGGUGCUCUUUACUGGGUGCUCGUAGAACUCGGGAUCUUUACUUUGAAAAAAUUAGAGUGUUCAAAGCAGGCUUACGCUUGAAUACAUUAGCAUGGAAUAAUGGAAUAGGACUUUGGUUCUAUUUUGUUGGUUUCUAGAACCGAAGUAAUGAUUAAUAGGGAUAGUUGGGGGCAUUAGUAUUUAAUUGUCAGAGGUGAAAUUCUUGGAUUUAUGAAAGACUAACUUCUGCGAAAGCAUUUGCCAAGGAUGUUUUCA
rnacentral:rRNA from 1 species